ACUUUUGUUAGGUAGCGAAUUAGAAAACUUUUUGUUGAAUUGGUCAACGUUACGUUAGCAAUGACGUUAUUUGUCCAUGUCGUUUGCCGGGUACUUUAAAUUAAAGAUAAAAAAAAUUAAAAAAAAAGAUUUUAGCUGCUUACGAAAGCGCAUUGACUAAAUAUAGUUCCCUUGUUACAUUUAAUAAAUUUGGAGCAGUGGUGAAAGCAAUCCAUUCUGGCCUGGUACAUUUAAAGGCUGCUGAAACAUGAGCAAAAACGUAUUGUUGUUGGAUUCGAUCUGGGUCCGUGUACGAUUCGUUCACUGGUUAUCCCACAGUAAACAGGGAGACGGAGAACAAAUACAGCGCUCGUUUUCCGUUCUGUUAAUUCAUGCGUGGACCACACAAGCUGGUUGGCUAGUUAGCUGUACAGCCCAGAAGUGAGUCCCAUUGCCAGGCCUUUGACUGCUGGACCAAUCCCCACACUGAACAGCGGAAGUGGAGUCCCAAAACAUUGGAAGUGUCAUUGCUACCAUGGCCAUAAUAUCUGGAUUUAGGAUGAGUGUGGAGGCACAAUGUGGUGGUCUAAUAAAUGUUCAAAGAAACCAUAAGUUCUGCUUAUUUCGAGGACAGUAUUUUAAACUGCUGGUCACAUGAAAUUUGUCUUUGACUCAAUGUAUUCCAUAUUAAUAAAUAUUGUUG